rnacentral:rRNA from 1 species
AGAGUUUGAUCCUGGCUCAGAACGAACGCUGGCGGCGUGCUUAACACAUGCAAAUCGAGCGGACUUUUACAGUGUAUCGUAAGAGUUAGCGGUAAACGGGUGAAUAAUGCACAGGAAGCAACCCUCAAGAGGGGGAUAACCCUGCGAAAGCGGGACUAAUACCCCAUAAGACCACAGCAGCUUCGGCUGCAGAGGUUAAAGGUGUAACGCAAGUUACGCCACUUGAUGACGCGCCUGUGUCCUAUCAGCUUGUUGGCGAGGUAAAAGCUCACCAAGGCUAUGACGGGUAGCCGGUCUAAAAGGAUGUCCGGCCACAGCGGAACUGAGACACGGUCCACACUCCUACGGGAGGCAGCAGUGGGGAAUAUUGCACAAUGGACGAAAGUCUGAUGCAGCGACGCCGCGUGAAGGAUGACAGUCUUCGGAUUGUAAACUUCUUUACAGGGGACAAAACCCGCAAGGGAUGAUGG